CCUACGGGGGGCAGCAGUCGAGAAUCUUCGGCAAUGGGCGCAAGCCUGACCGAGCGACGCCGCGUGCGGGAUGAAGGCCUUCGGGUUGUAAACCGCUGUCAGUGCGGAGGAAAUGUAGUGGGGUACUCCCCAUUAUUUGACCUAUGCGCAGAGGAAGGACGGGCUAAGUUCGUGCCAGCAGCCGCGGUAAGACGAACCGUCCAAACGUUAUUCGGAAUCACUGGGCUUAAAGGUCUCUUAGGCGGUCUGUGAAAGCCCUCGGCUCAACCGAGGAAUAGCGCCCAAAACUAGCGGACUUGAGCAAGGCAGAGGUGAACGGAACUAAGGGUGGAGCGGUGAAAUGCGUUGAUAUCCUUAGGAACACCAGUAGCGAAAGCGGUUCACUGGGCCUUUUCUGACGCUGAUGCACGAAAGCCAGGGGAGCGAACGGGAUUAGAUACCCCAGUAGUC
rnacentral:rRNA from 1 species